rnacentral:RNase_P_RNA from 1 species
AAUGCAGGCCGUUCUAUCGCUGUGAAGCCUAUGUUUCAGAGAGGAAAGUCCGGGCAACAUAGUGCAUCCCGCUUGCUAACGGCAAGGUAUGCAGGAUUGAAAACCUGUAUAACGGAUAAGUGCCACAGAAAAUAUACCGCCGUGACCGCCGGAGCUUAAGCGCAGGAGGAUCCUCCUUCGCUUAAACUUCGGCGGACGCAGUAAGGGUGAAAACGUGAGGUAAGAGCUCACGACGUAUGAGGGUGACCUUAUAUGAUGGUAAACCCCGGGAGUUGAAAGCCCAAAUAGGUUCCGGGCAUGGGGCGGCACGUUCCAUAUUUGUUGUAAACUUGUUUACUCCAAAUAAACCGGAAUGGGUAGGGCGUUAGAGAUAAAUGGCAACAUUUAUACCAGAUUAAUGAUAGAAGUUGUUUGCUUAGGCCAACAAAACAGAACCCGGCUUACAGGCCUGCAUUUUUU